AACGCACAUUGCGCCCUUUGGCAUUCCGAGGGGCAUGCCCGUUCGAGCGUCAUUAAACCCACUCAAGCCUGGCUUGGUAUUGGGCGACGGGAAUUUCCCGCGCCUUCAUUUCGCCGGCUGGCCGUCGUUUGACUUAGCGUUGUGACACAUGUCGCUAAUGAAAUUGAUGGUUACGCCGUUAAAAUUCUCUUGAGUAUUAAUCAAUAUUCAGUAAAGGUUGACCUCGGAUCGGGUAGGAAUACCCGCUGAACUUAA
rnacentral:misc_RNA from 1 species